rnacentral:rRNA from 1 species
GACGAACGCUGGCGGCGUGCCUAAUACAUGCAAGUCGAACGCAGUGGGGACGGGUGAGUAACACGUGGGUAACCUCCCCAUCAGAGGGGAUAACACUUGGAAACAGGUGCUAAACCGAUACUGAUGGCUGGACCCGCGGUGCAUUAGCUAGUUGGUGAGGUAACGGCUCACCAAGGCCACGAUGCAUAGCUGACCUGAGAGGGUGAGCGGCCACACUGGGACUGAGACACGGCCCAGACUCCUACGUGAGUCAGCAGGGGGGAAUAUUGCACAAUGGGCGCAAGCCUGAUGCAGCCAUGCCGCGUGUAUGAAGAAGGCCUUCGGGUUGUAAAGUACUGUCAGCGGGGAGGCGUUACCCGCAGAAGAAGCACCGGCUAACUCCGUGCCAGCAGCCGCGGUAAUAC